ACUCCAAGAAGUUAACACGCCUUUUUUAGAAUAGGAUAUUUAAACUUAUUUCAAUCUUUUCAUAGAUUCUUUGAUUUGUAAAAGGAGUUCGCGUUUGCCGGUUACGCGAAGAAAAACUUCUCGAUCUCGAUUUGAAUGACAAACCCCACGGUGACUUUUCCGCCGGUUCCCGCGAUCCCUCGGCGUGCGAUCUGAACAUUAGAAUCUCAGAGGAGGACUCUGAGAGAUCAAUCUGAAAUCUAACACCUUUGUGUCUAAGCGCGGUUAAAUAUAGUUUGCGCAUCCUUUACAUUCCAGCAGCGCAGUUUGCGAGCAGACCUUCACUUUCGAUCACUCGUAACUCAAGGACUCAAGGACUAUGGAUGUGCCUGAACAGUCUCGAGAGAAAGAGUGAGAGAGCAAUUCACUGUCUCAAGAGAGAGAGAGAGAGGAAGGCUCGACUUUGAAUUAGUUGAACAAUUUUCUGUUAAAUUAUUAAAGUCGCGGUUACUCUUUAUCGCACAUUUAUCGCAUUUGACGAUUUUGUAUAUUAUAAGUACAUAUUUUAUAUAAAGAGAACAAUAAAUUUCGAGGAUCUGGAUGGAUAGGCGACAGGCAGGACCCUCCACAUUGAACCGCGCCAUUUCCCGCUGAUUUAAUGUCUUUCUCUUUGCAAACUUUUGUACAAUAGAUAUAAUAAUCGUGAGGCUCGAAAUUUGAAGAUCAGGUAGAAAGUAGGUGUCGUGUAUCUUUUUCUUUCUGUUACACUUCACUCUUUUUUUAUUAAGGAGAAAACGAGUUACAUGACAUCUGUCUUUUUCUACCUGAUUUUCACUGCCAGUAGAGAACACGCUCGGUCUAUUCUUACUAUAGCUAUAUAUAAUGCAAACCAAUAACCAUAAAGAUGAUCGGACGACAUGUUGGAAAACUAAAAAAUAUGAAAGGAACUCCAAAAUAGGAAAGGAAGUUAUUAUAUUAUAUUGGACACAAUAAAUUAGGUGUCUGCAAAAGUUCCUUAUUAGGUCAUCUUUCUUCCUUCUAAGGGUGAUCACGCUCACUGUCCACAAGAAGUAGAACAGUAGGGUUUCGAUCAAUCGCGUUGCUCGAUACAGUUGGCUCAGAUCGAGCAACGCAAUUGGUCGAAACCUUACUACGCCCUAAAUCUUUCUCAAAUAUUUCUCUUUCUUUUCUGUUUUCAAAUGGCGGGAAUCCCGCGGGAUACUAUUAACUCCAAGCUGCAAACCUCGGAGUAGCCGCGACUUUAAUUGUAACAGGAAAUUUUUCAACGUAAACUAUAAUAAAGGCAAUUAAAAUUGCAAGUCACUCAACAUACGAUUCUUUUAUCAUCGCUAAAUAAAAUACAAAUUGUGUUUGAAAAAUGUAGGACAGAAGGAACAGUUUCAACGAAUGUCCGACAUUAUUUUACAGACAACAACACUUUAUCUGCUGUACACAGCUGGGAUAAAAUUAAUCGUAAUCGCGCGGCGCACGAUUGUUGCAACCAAAGUCGAGGCCACCCGCGGCACUUGUUGCGAAGGAAAACUAUGAUUGCGAGAUAAUAAAGCUCUUUUUUCCCGUGGCCGCGACGAGAGGCGCGAUUAUCUCGCUUGGACUCGCAGGUUGCAGUUUAUUAAUGGAUCUCGCGCGCGCGCGCGUUUAUUUAAGUCGCUUUUGCAGAUUUACACGGCGGGUAGGUCGCAAAAGUUCACCGGUGCGUACAUGCGCGCCGAGCUAAAGGUUAAUAUUCCCGCGGCUGCAAAUAGAUUUCAAUGCGCGUGAUUCGUGGACUCGAUUAUAACCGUGGUAUUCCUUGACCUUAAGUGAAUCGAGUGCUCUUCAAGUGCCCGGCAUUUGUCAGGCUCACGGCCGCAGCGCAACACGUCCGCAGCGAUGUGUAUACGGAGUGUCCCGUGAAGACCGGAUCAACGCUUAAGGCAUCAGCACUAUUGCGGUCCACUGUUGCGGUUGCGGCGCGACGUCACAUCCGUCUCCAUCGGAAUUCAUCGGCGCACCAUUCUCGACCUAAUUCCGCGUACGUCCCACGUUGAUGUCGACGACGAUGCAUCAUAAAAAGACGAAGACGUCGCCGCGCGUUGAGGAGGAUGUCCACCGACGCGAUUUCCCAGCCGAGGUCCCCGGCUCUAUAAGGUCCAUGAGGUGCGGUGUCCCAGUGAGGCGGAUGUUCCACAGGUGGAUGUCCGUAGUGCACAACCUCGUA